rnacentral:rRNA from 1 species
AACGAACGCUGGCGGCAGGCCUAACACAUGCAAGUCGAGCGAGGACUUCGGUCCUAGCGGCGGACGGGUGAGUAACGCGUGGGAACGUGCCCUUUGCUUCGGAAUAGCCCUGGGAAACUGGGAGUAAUACCGGAUGAGCCCUUUGGGGGAAAGAUUUAUCGGCGAAGGAUCGGCCCGCGUUGGAUUAGGUAGUUGGUGGGGUAAUGGCCUACCAAGCCGACGAUCCAUAGCUGGUUUGAGAGGAUGAUCAGCCACACUGGGACUGAGACACGGCCCAGACUCCUACGGGAGGCAGCAGUGGGGAAUCUUAGACAAUGGGGGAAACCCUGAUCUAGCCAUGCCGCGUGAGCGAUGAAGGCCUUAGGGUUAUAAAGCUCUUUCAGCUGGGAAGAUAAUGACGGUACCAGCAGAAGAAGCCCCGGCUAACUCCGUG